GAUGAACGCUGGCGGUAUGCUUAACACAUGCAAGUCGAACGGACUCUUCGGAGUUAGUGGCGGACGGGUGAGUAACGCGUGAGAAUCUGGCUUUGGGUUCGGGACAACCACUGGAAACGGUGGCUAAUACCGGAUGUGCCGAGAGGUAAAAGAGAAAUUGCCUGGAGAUGAGCUCGCGUCUGAUUAGCUAGUUGGUGAGGUAAAGGCUCACCAAGGCAGCGAUCAGUAGCUGGUCUGAGAGGAUGACCAGCCACACUGGGACUGAGACACGGCCCAGACUCCUACGGGAGGCAGCAGUGGGGAAUUUUCCGCAAUGGGCGAAAGCCUGACGGAGCAAUACCGCGUGAGGGAAGAAGGCUCUUGGGUUGUAAGCCUCUUUUCUUAGGGAAGAACAAAAUGACGGUACCUAAGGAAUCAGCAUCGGCUAACUCCGUG
rnacentral:rRNA from 1 species